AGAUUUCCUGUCCUUGGGAAGCUGUCAUCAUCCUUCUAUCUUUACACCCCAUGAUUUACCCCUUGCAGUGUACUUAUUACACUGUAUUGGAAUCGCUUCUUUUCUCUUUCUCUGUGAAUUUCUUGAGAGCACAGACUACAUUCUGCUUAACUUUUUAUCCCCAGCUUUCAGCACAGUGCCUGGCUGCUUUGGCGUCUCCAAGUACCUGACCUCAGCUCAACCUGUCUUGGGUUUUCUUCUCCUCCCUGACAUUGACAACCCAGCCCUCCUAGGCACAGAGAGAUGGAGCUGAGUGUGGUUUUCCUGAAAUAAAGCUUGCAUUAUGAGAGGGAAUAAACAGAAGAAAAAAAUAUGUCUGAGGCGCAUGGCCCCGGGAGAGGAGGAGAAUGGGACGGUGGUUCAGAUCUGCUGAUGUAGCUGUGGUCAGUCACUGGGGAGAAUAGGCCUGUGGAUUUCUGCUCCUCUGAGAUGGAUCCAUCACUGACUACUGAACUUGUUUUCUCAUUGGCUCAACUUAAGAAGGUUCUAGAGAGGAGAAGCUGGACGGAGGGGCUGACCACGCGGUGCAAGGAACCUGUUGGUCAGCUCAUGUCAGUUAGCAUUACUUAAUAGGAGGCAGUUUGCCUCCGAUAUCUUUCUGUAUAGUUUACACAUCAUUGUUUGUUAAAGUUGAAUUUUUCAAAAUUGCUGUUAUGUCAUAUCCUCUAUGCACAAGAAUGGAUCGAUGAUUCAAAAGGGAUUAAAAUAAAAAUUGUUGAUGAAAAAAGCCAAA
ensembl:lncRNA novel transcript, antisense to C7orf33 and CNTNAP2